rnacentral:rRNA from 1 species
GAUGAACGCUGGCGGCGUGCCUAACACAUGCAAGUCGAGCGGACAGACGCGGCGCUUGCUCCUCUGACGUUAGCGGCGGACGGGUGAGUAACACGUGGAUAACCUACCUAUCUGACUGGGAUAACUACGGGAAACCGGAGCAUAUCCCGGAUAAUAUAUUGAACCGCAGGGGUGGAUGGUGAAAGACGGCUUUUCUGUCACGAAUAGAUGGAUCCGCGCCGCAUUAGCGAGUUGGUGAGGUAACGGCUUACCAAGGGAAUGAUGCGUAGCCGACCUGAGAGGGUGAUCGGCCACACUGGAACUGAGACACGGUCCAGACUCCUGCGGGAGGCAGCAGUAGGGAAUCUUCCGCAAUGGGCGAAAGCCUGACGGAGCAACGCCGCGUGAGUGAUGAAGGUCUUCGGAUCGUAAAACUCUGUUAUUAGGGAAGAACAAAUGUGUAAGUAACUAUGCACGUCUUGACGGUACCUAAUCAGAAAGCCACGGCUAACUACGUG